rnacentral:rRNA from 1 species
UACGUAGGGUGCGAGCGUUGUCCGGAUUUAUUGGGCGUAAAGAGUUCGUAGGCGGCUUGUCGCGUCGGCCGUGAAAACCCGGGGCUCAACUCCGGGCUUGCGGGCGAUACGGGCAGGCUAGAGUUCGGUAGGGGAGACUGGAAUUCCUGGUGUAGCGGUGAAAUGCGCAGAUAUCAGGAGGAACACCGGUGGCGAAGGCGGGUCUCUGGGCCGAUACUGACGCUGAGGAGCGAAAGCGUGGGGAGCGAACAGG